CACGUAGGGGCCAAGCGUUGUCCGGAUUCAUUGGGCGUAAAGAGCUCGUAGGCGGUUCAGUUAGUCGGGUGUGAAAUCUCCGGGCUCAACCCGGAGGGGCCACCCGAUACUGCUAUAGCUAGAGUCCAGUAGGGGAGUGUGGAAUUCCCAGUGUAGCGGUGAAAUGCGCAGAUAUUGGGAGGAACACCAGCGGCGAAGGCGGCACUCUGGGCUGGUACUGACGCUGAGGAGCGAAAGCGUGGGUAGCGAACAGG
rnacentral:rRNA from 1 species